rnacentral:rRNA from 1 species
UAGGGAAUCUUCGGCAAUGGACGGAAGUCUGACCGAGCAACGCCGCGUGAGUGAAGAAGGUUUUCGGAUCGUAAAGCUCUGUUGUUAGAGAAGAACGUGGGUAGGAGUGGAAAAUAUACCAAGAGACGGGAACUAACCAGAAAGGGACGGCGAACUACGUGCCAGCAGCCGCGGUAAUACGUAGGUCCCGAGCGUUGUCCGGAGUUAUUGGGCGUAAAGCGAGCGCAGGCGGUUCUUUAAGUCUGAAGUUAAAGGCAGUGGCUUAACCAUUGUACGCAUUGGAAACUGAAGGGCUUGAGUGCAGAAGGGGAGAGUGGAAUUCCAUGUGUAGCGGUGAAAUGCGUAGAUAUAUGGAGGAACACCGGUGGCGAAAGCGGCUCUCUGGUCUGUAACUGACGCUGAGGCUCGAAAGCGUGGGGAGCAAACAGG